CCUACGGGAGGCAGCAGUAAGGAAUAUUGGUCAAUGGACGCAAGUCUGAACCAGCCAUGCCGCGUGAAGGAUGACGGCCCUCUGGGUUGUAAACUUCUUUUAUCUGGGACGAAAAAAGGGUAUUCUUACUCACUUGACGGUACCAGAGGAAUAAGCACCGGCUAACUCCGUGCCAGCAGCCGCGGUAAUACGGAGGGUGCAAGCGUUAUCCGGAUUUACUGGGUUUAAAGGGUGCGUAGGUGGGUUGGUAAGUCAGUGGUGAAAUCUCCGAGCUUAACUCGGAAACUGCCAUUGAUACUAUCAAUCUUGAAUACUUUGGAGGUAAGCGGAAUAUGUCAUGUAGCGGUGAAAUGCUUAGAUAUGACAUAGAACACCAAUUGCGAAGGCAGCUUACUACACAGUCAUUGACACUGAGGCACGAAAGCGUGGGGAUCAAACAGGAUUAGAUACCCUGGUAGUCCACGCCCUAAACCGAUGGAUACUCGACAUCAGCGAUACACUGUUGGUGUCUGAGCGAAAGCAUUAAGUAUCCCACCUGGGAAGUACGAUUCGCAAGAUUGAAACUUCAAAUUGAAUUGACGG
rnacentral:rRNA from 1 species